rnacentral:lncRNA from 1 species
UCAUUAGAAGUUUGAUAACCCAAUAACUUUGUAAUAAUUACUUCUUGGUUACUCUCAGGGAAUAAUUUGCCACAGGAGAUGCUGGAAUAUUAGACAUCAGCACUACAGCUGUAUUCAUAUUAAAGGCAUAUUUGAAUCUCAUCAUUUGUUGGAACCUCAUGGAUUUUUGACAUGCAAGGACAUCAGAAGGAUGUGCUGCCAUUCACUGAGACCUGGACAGGUUGGUCGUAGAAUAAUGUUCACAGGAGUUUCAGGCUAUGACCAGAAGUGGCACCAGCUCUGAGGGUGAGAGGCUUGUGUUUUCUGUUUUGUUACUAUACACACAAAAUGUUUGUUUAGGCAACAAUUGAUGUGUGGUUUUAUUAUACUGGUGCUAACUUGAGAGUGCUUUACCUGUUUUAUGGAGUUUUUUGACGGGAACUUUGAAGUGGAUAAAC